GGCCCAAACUUCAAGUAGAGUAGAUUAGUAGUGUCAGCCGACCCUACUUAACUAUUCUAUCUCAAGUUUGUGCCC
rnacentral:pre_miRNA from 1 species